rnacentral:rRNA from 1 species
UGCGUAGGCGGUUUACUAAGUCAGAUGUGAAAGCCCCGGGCUUAACCUGGGAACUGCAUUUGAUACUGGUAGGCUAGAGUAUGAUAGGAGGGGGGUAGAAUUCCUGGUGUAGCGGUGAAAUGCGUAGAUAUCAGGAGGAAUACCAGUGGCGAAGGCCGGCCCCCUGGAUCAAUACUGACGCUGAGGUACGAAAGCGUGGGUAGCGAACA